UUCUUUUACCCCGUUUUUCAGCGUGAUUGUUUGCUCGUCUGUCUUUUUCAUGAGGUGGUGAGUGUCACACAGCAUCUGGCCUAGGCCUGACUCCCUUUCCCCAGGUAGCCUAACACAGCACCUAUUGGCAGACCCUGGUUUGGGAAGUUACCUUGCAGCUGCCAGAUCUGAGGAGGCCCCUGUGAUAUGACAAGCAAAUGAACUAAAGCCUGAAAAACCAUGAGAGUGGGCUUGGAAUAGCAUCCUGCAGCCUCACCUGAGUCCCGGGACGACUGCAGCCCCAGUGGACAGCUUGCCUGCAAUCUCAUCACAGACCUUGAGCCACAACCUUCCAGAUAAGCUACUUACAUAUCCCUGA